rnacentral:rRNA from 1 species
AGGGCGUACGGUGAAUGCCUUGGUGCCAACAGGCGAAGAAGGACGCGGCAAGCUGCGAAAAGCCUCGGGAAGCUGCAAGCAAGCGAUGAUCCGGGGAUAUCCGAAUGGGGUAACCUGAUCGAGGCAAUACUCGAUCGUUCAUACCUGAAUACAUAGGGUAUGAAACGCGAAACCCGCUGAAGUGAAACAUCUCAGUAAGCGGAGGAAAAGAAAGAGAAAUCGAUUCCGUAAGUAGUGGCGAGCGAAAGCGGAUGGAGCCCAAACCGAAGGUAUUCCUUCGGGGUUGUAGGACCACGACCUAUUCGACCAUACUGGAUAGUAGAACAGCCUGGAAAGGCUGGCCGUAGAAGGUGAAAGCCCUGUAGACGAAAUCCAGAGUGGGAAUUAGUGGUAUCCUGAGUAAUACAUCACACGUGGAACGAUGUAUGAAACCGCGCGGACCACCGCGCAAGGCUAAAUACUAGUUGGCGACCGAUAGUGAACAAGUACCGCGAGGGAAAGGUGAAAAGAACCGCUGUGAGCGGAGUGAAAUAGAACCUGAAACCGUAUGUCUACAAAGUGUCAGAGCAGAGCAAUCUGCGAUGGCGUGCCUUUUGUUUAAUGAGUCUGCGAGUCAGUGUUUGUGGCAAGACUAAGGGCUUCCGGCCCGGAGUCGCAGCGAAAGCAAGUCCGAAUAGGGCGCAAUAAGUCGCAGGUACUGGACCCGAAGCGGAGGUGACCUACCCUUGGCCAGGUUGAAGCAUGGGUAAAACCAUGUGGAGGACCGAACAGGUGAACGUUGAAAAGUUCUCUGAUGAGCUGAGGGUAGGAGUGAAAGGCUAAUCAAACCCCGUGAUAGCUGGUUCUCUUCGAAAUGCAUUUAGGUGCAGCGUCACGUGCUGAUGCGCGGGGGUAGAGCACUGACAAGGCUAGGGGGCACACCCGCUUACCAAACCUUAUCAAACUCCGAAUACCGUGCAAUGGAACGUGGCAGUGAGACAGUGGGGGAUAAGCUUCAUUGUCGAGAGGGAAACAACCCAGACCAGCAGCUAAGGUGCCUAAAUAACGCUCAGUGGAAAGGAUGUGGGAUUACACAGACAGUGAGGAUGUUGGCUUAGAAGCAGCCACCAUUUAAAAAAUGCGUAAUAGCUUACUCAUCGAGUGAUCCUGCGCCGAAAAUGAUUGGCGAUCAAGCGUUAUACCGAAGCUCUGGACUUUGCCGCAAGGCAGAGUGGUAGAAGAGCGUUGCAUGCGCGUCGAAGGGUGAUGGCGACUGACCCUGGAGCACAUGCAAGUGAGUAUGCAGACAUGAGUAACGUUAAGCCGGGUGAAAUCCCCGGCCGCCGUAAACCCGAGGUUUCCAGGGCAACGUGUUUCGUCCCUGGGUUAGCCGGGACCUAAGCCGAGGCCGAGAGGCGUAGGCGAUGGACAUCAGGUUAAUAAUCCUGAGCUCGCGACCCUUAAACUGGGGGGACGCAUGAGAAAAGAUGACUAGGUUAUUGAAUUCCGAGUUGAGUCUACGGACUCAGCGCAUCAUUGGAUCGAGUGCCAAGAAAAGCCCCAGCGUAUGCUAAGCGACCCGUACCGCAAACCGACACAGGUGGGUGGGUAGAAUAUACCAAGGCGUAAGAGUGAAACCUGGUUAAGGAACUCGGCAAAUUAGCCCCGUAACUUCGGAAGAAGGGGUGCCUGCAGCGAUGCAGGCCGCAGAGAAAUGGCCCAACCGACUGUUUAUCAAAAACACAGCACUCUGCAAAGACGCAAGUCGAAGUAUAGGGUGUGACACGUGACCAAUGCCGAAAGAUUAAGGCAAGGGGUUAGCCGCAAGGCGAAGCUCUGAACCCAAGUCCCGGUGAAUGUCGGCCGUAACUAUAACGGUCCUAAGGUAGCGAAAUUCCUUGUCGGGUAAGUUCCGACCUGCACGAAUCGUGAAACGAGUUGGGCACUGUCUCAACCAGGCGCUCAGUGAAAUUGUAGUGGCGGUGAAGAUGCCGCCUACCCGCAGAAGGACGGAAAGACCCUAUAGACCUUAACUGUAAGCUGUCAUUGUUUCUUCGGUUUUAAUGCUCAGAGUAAGUGGGAGACGCUGAAGACGCCCUUUAGGGGGCGUCCGAGUCAUCAAUGAGACACCACCCUUUGAAACUGGAGGAUCUAACCCUGAGCCGUGAAUCCGGCCAGAGGACCGUGUCAGCCGGUCAGUUUUACUGGGGCGGUAUCCUCCCAAAGAGUAACGGAGGAGCGCGAAGGUGGGCUCAGCCCGGUUGGCAACCGGGUGUCGAGUGCAUGGGCAUAAGCCCGCCUAACUGUGAGACCAACAAGUCGAGCAGAUGCGAAAGCAGGCCCAAGUGAUCCGGCGGUAGAAAGUGGAAUUGCCGUCGCUCAACGGAUAAAAGGUACCUUAGGGAUAACAGGCUGAUCACGCCCAAGAGUUCAUAUCGACGGCGUGGUUUGGCACCUCGAUGUCGGCUCGUCGCAUC